GUAGGCUGGGGCACGACAUCGGGGGCGACUCCAGUGGAUGUUUCUGAAUCCGCGGAAUUGUUGAAACUCCGAGAGGAAAGCCGGAAAUUACAAGAGGAUAUCAGGGAACUAAAAGAAGAAAACCGGCGUCUGAAAGGAAAUGUUGUCGCUGAUGACAUCGACGAUGGCAUCGUUAUCCGCCUCGGCAUCGCCAUCCGCCUCAGCAACGUCUUCCGCAGCGGCAUCCGCAUCCACACCCACACCCACACCCACACCCACACCCACAACCGCAUC